CAGCAGCAACUUACUGCUCGUGCACAUGUGAAGUACAAGAAGACUGAGCGUGAUUCAAGGCCUCGAUAUACUCACGGCAAAGAUCUUUUUUGUUCUUCUCUAAGGGCUAAAAAGAAGUGUGUAAUACCUUGAUUUGCAGUGAUAUACUGUUAACGAACAUCCGGGCGCUGUUGAGAGCGACGGUUAGAUGAAUAUGUAAAUGUGUGCUGCGCGCGCUUUCCUCUCAAUAACAAAAUAAACACACAACAAAAAUGACAUCUGUGAGAAAACAGGCAUCUGAUCGUAGCGAUGUGGAUCUGUUUGCACCGGCAUCAUAACGACGGAUGAGGUGUCCAGUUCUUAAUUAGCUGACGGUGCAAAAGUGGAAACCUCAUCAACAUUGAGGGUCUAGAAAACAGAUGGGAAGCUCAUUCGCAUGACGUAACAACUCAGUCCUCGGUCAGAGCAGAUGUGCCAACAACCAAAAUGAUGGGGGAAAAUCAUGUCAUUGAGGACAAAGCUGAGAGCGGAUGGAGAGCAGUUGCCAUGGUGAUGUGAUAGCCACACCUGGUGAUGCUGAUGCUGUGUGUGUGUGUGUGUGUGUGUGUGUGAGACAGACAGACAGAGAUCCACAGGGUUUUGAGCUCAUGCUGCAUAGACCGUGUUCAAGGUGAUCAGCGCGAUUUCACCAGGCCUCAUUUGUCUGAGCAGACGGUUCCUCCUCACCUCUGUCCCAGGAUCAAAACACACAUAAUUGUCACAAGAUUUGCACUAAUUAAAUAUUCAGUUUCUUAAAGUCGCCUAAGUAGUGAAAAUCUUCUCUCAUGAGUCCUGAUGAGUUCGGCUCAUUAAUUAGAGAUUAUAUGCAUUAUGCAUCAUAUGACGGCACAUUUUCUGACUGUCCACAGUCUGAACGCUGACCGGCUGCUGCAUAUUGUGGAAUCAUCAGUUUCAAAACUGGGAAGCACCGAAGUUACUUAAAAAAGUACCAAAUUGAAAGAAUCGUCACGUUUGAGGAAGAACUACUAUAAUCGCUAGAUUUGCUUUUUUUUUUUCCAGUUUUGUGGUGUCAGAUCUUUGAGAAAUAUUCAGAAUAGUUUGAGGCACAAAUAGCAAGUUAGCAAAAUCCAUUGAUUUUAUAUUCCGCUUUGUUUUUGAAUUGUAUCUGUGAAUAUUAAUAUUAAUUUUGGACUGAUUACAGUUUUGAUUAUCUUUUGUAUGUGUGUGUGUGUGUGUGAUUGUGUUAUUUUAAUAUUUUUUAAUAUAUUGAAUUAGAUAUUUUUAUAUUUUCAGUUUUCAUUUUAAUUUUUGUGAAGUUUUAGUAAUUUUGAUGUGUUUUUUUUCUUUUGGUAUUAUUAUUUUUUAAGAUGUCUAUAUAGUUUAGAGUUUAUUUACUUUUGGCUAUUUUAUAGUUUAGUACUUUUCACAUAAACUAAAAUGAAAAUGAGAA